UGGGGUGUGGCUCAGAGGUGGAGCGCUUGCCUAGCGCGUGAGAGGCCCUGGGUCCCAUCCUCAGCACCACAU
rfam:Ictidomys tridecemlineatus contig073558, whole genome shotgun sequence.